CUUUUUUGCCGGUUCUUCCCGCUGAGGAAGUGUCGCUCAAGACGCUGGCCUAUGAAGGAAGACAAACAUAAAGAUGAAGUGCUUAAUUCAAGGUCACACAAUGUCGGGGAUGGACCUCCAGAUUUCCUUACUGGUGAGACGUGGUCUUGUAACACAGUGGUUAAGAAUGUGACUUUGGAGCCAGCCUGCUAGGGGCUGAAUUCUGACUCAGCCAUUUACUAACUGUGUGACCUUAGGCUGGAGUGCAAUGGCAUGAUCUCGGCUCAUCACAACCUCUGCUUCCUGGGUUCAAGCGAUUCUCCUGCCUCAGCCUCCCGAGUACCUGGGACUACAGGCACUCGCCACCAUGCCCGGCUGAUUUUUGUAUUUUUAAUAGAGAUGGUUUCACUAUGUUGGCCAGGCUGGUCUCGAACUCCUGACCUUGUGAUCUGCCCACCUCAGCCUCGAAAAGUGCUGGGAUUACAGGCGUGAGCCACUGCGCCCAGCCUUGUAUUUUUUUUCAGUUUGGGUAGCUGUCCCUAAUUCAUUUGUUAAAGGAGAAGCAAGAGCAAGAACCUUUAAUCUGUUCUCCUCUUCCCUAAUUUGAAAGUAGCUUGUUAUUUUGAAUAUCACUUUCUCUGAAAUAGCACAUCUCCAUCUCAGAGAAUGGAUUUAAUGUUUGGAUACAGCCAAAAGUCAUUUCAUUACCAAACCAUGGGGUGAAUAUACCAUGUAAAGCAGUUUGGGAUCAGAACUCACAGUCUGAAUUGUAAGUGAUGAGACUGCUGUCUCUCUGCUACAGCUUCUUGGCUGGCUCUGAAGGCUCUUUGAAGGCAGAUCCUAACAAGGGGACUGCUUUGAAGGGCCAUUGUUCAUUUGGAAUGAUAAAGUCUAUGUUGUUCAAAAAACAAAUGCUUGUAGCAGGUAUUUUUUCACUCCAGACUGAGAAUAUUGGUGGGAUAUUGAUAAGGGGUACUGAAUGGUAAUAAACAUGUGCUCUAGCUCUGUGCUAGUCAGCUUAUUUCAGAACUCUAGUUUGAUUCAGUUUCUUGCCUCUGACUCAAAAUGGAGGGAGAGUGAUUUUUACAUAAGAGAACACACCCACAUAUCCUUUUGGCAGCAGCUACCUGCCAGAGAUGUUGAAGAAGAGUAGCCAACCUUUACACAGCAGAUAUUGUGUGCCAGUCAUAGUCCUAAGUAUAAUACCUUACAUGUAUAAACUUCUUAUAAGGUUGGUGCUCUGUACCGAAUUGAAUAGUAUCCCCCAAAAUUCAUGUUGUCCCAGAACCUAUGAAAGUGAUCUUACUUGAGGGAGGGGGGAGGGG
rnacentral:lncRNA from 10 species